UUGAAAGGGAAACGAUUGAAGUCAGUCGUACCUGCGGAUAAUCAACCUUUAGAUGCGAUUUUGUGGAGUGUGAGGAGCUAAUCGCCUUCAUGCCUGUAUAUUCGUGUACUUGGGGUGUACUUAUUCGUGAGGUAAGUUAACAUCAAUUUUGGUGGUCAUAAAAUGACUGGAGGAAUGUAGCUUCGAUCUCGUAUUGAAGUGUUAUAGCCUUCGGUAGAUGUGAUGAUCGAGAUUGAGGAUUGCAACGGAUACCCUUCGGGGCUACCUGUCUGGUCCCUGAUCGUUGCUCUGGUGCCGAAAGCUUGCUUACGGUUAUCAAAGUCGAUGGUCAAUAGGUUAGAACGGGUUAAAUUCGUUAAGGAUGUUGACGUA
rnacentral:rRNA from 1 species